UGGGGAAUAUUGCACAAUGGGCGAAAGCCUGAUGCAGCAACGCCGCGUGAGGGACGACGGCCUUCGGGUUGUAAACCUCUUUUAGCAAGGAAGAAGCGAAAGUGACGGUACUUGCAGAAAAAGCGCCGGCUAACUACGUGCCAGCAGCCGCGGUAAUACGUAGGGCGCAAGCGUUAUCCGGAAUUAUUGGGCGUAAAGAGCUCGUAGGCGGUUUGUCGCGUCUGCUGUGAAAACCCGAGGCUCAACCUCGGGCCUGCAGUGGGUACGGGCAGACUAGAGUGCGGUAGGGGAGAUUGGAACUCCUGGUGUAGCGGUGGAAUGCGCAGAUAUCAGGAAGAACACCGAUGGCGAAGGCAGAUCUCUGGGCCGUAACUGACGCUGAGGAGCGAAAAGGGUGGGGAGCAAAACAGGCUUAGAUACCCUGGUAGUCCACCCCGUAAACGUUGGGAACUAGUUGUGGGGUCCAUUCCACGGAUUCCGUGACGCAGCUAACGCAUUAAGUUCCCCGCCUGGGGAGUACGGCCGCAAGGCUAAAACUCAAAUGAAUUGACGGGGUCAUAGCUGUUUCCU
rnacentral:rRNA from 1 species